GGAUCCCUGCUUGGGCAGCGACGUCCUCCCAUGCACGCCUAUUCAGUGUUGGACSAAGUGCAACGUUAGCCUUGGUCGUAUGUCGGUUUCCUGUGUUGCGUACCUUUUGUGACGGCAAUGGUUGUCAAAAUUGUCCCUCGUUUGUCUUGUGCGGCCCGUCGAGGGUUGCCACUGGAUGAACCGCGAAGCUCUCUUUGCGAUCCAUGAUGCCCGCAGUACAACUCGCGGCGUUUGUGGCUCGAGACGAGAUGUUUGUUCUUUCGGAUGCAGAAUGCAUAGCGGGUACGGGGUCUCUGGCCUCUAUCUACCCAAAACGAAGCGUCCAGUGCACGACUGUCGUCUCCGUCUUGACGGGCCGACCCUUGCGGUCUUGCUCGGCCAUGCGGCGUCGAUGUCUGUGAGGA
rnacentral:misc_RNA from 1 species